AUUGAACGCUGGCGGCAGGCCUAACACAUGCAAGUCGAACGGUAACAGGGAUCAGCUUGCUGAUUCGCUGACGAGUGGCGGACGGGUGAGUAAUGUCUGGGAAACUGCCUGAUGGAGGGGGAUAACUACUGGAAACGGUAGCUAAUACCGCAUAACGUCGCAAGACCAAAGAGGGGGACCUUCGGGCCUCUUGCCAUCGGAUGUGCCCAGAUGGGAUUAGCUAGUAGGUGGGGUAACGGCUCACCUAGGCGACGAUCCCUAGCUGGUCUGAGAGGAUGACCAGCCACACUGGAACUGAGACACGGUCCAGACUCCUACGGGAGGCAGCAGUGGGGAAUAUUGCACAAUGGGCGCAAGCCUGAUGCAGCCAUGCCGCGUGUAUGAAGAAGGCCUUCGGGUUGUAAAGUACUUUUAGCGGGGAGGAAGGGAGUAAAGUUAAUACCUUUGCUCAUUGACGUUACCCGCAGAAGAAGCACCGGCUAACUCCGUG
rnacentral:rRNA from 1 species